GGCAUAUUUUAAAGGAUGAAAAUACUACUUUUCCCUUCUGUUCUGUCCACCAGACCACCACAACUCAAUCCACCCAUUUUUUAACCGCCCUUUACCGGUGACAGCCUCCUUUUCCGGUAAUGUGCCACCACCUUCUAGCACCUCUUUCAAGGUUCUCAAAACUGAAUCCAUGAAAAAAAUAAUUACUAAUUAGCAAACAAGAUGUAGCGAGAUUAGAGUACCGCCGUGCCAUUGCAGCGGCGCCGAUAACCUUCUUUACCUUUCAUGAUAAUCUCCUCCACUGAUGAAUAAACUUCAUGAUAACAUUCUUUAACGUUCUUUGUCGUAGUGCCGUCAUUUCCCAGACGCAACACGCAAUGGUUUGAACUUUGAACUCAACCGUUCUUGUAUAUUUUAACCUAUGCUUCCAUAUAGGAUCUAAACCAACGCAAAGAUCUGGAUUUGCUUUUGUUAUGACUAUUUACCUUCUCUUUUCUAGAAUUAUCCAAAGAAGCAGAAGAUUCAUAUAUGAAUGGAGAUUGAGG
rnacentral:lncRNA from 1 species